rnacentral:rRNA from 1 species
CCUACGGGGGGCAGCAGUGGGGAAUAUUGGACAAUGGGGGCAACCCUGAUCCAGCCAUGCCGCGUGUGUGAAGAAGGCCCUCGGGUUGUAAAGCACUUUCAGUGAGGAAGAACGCCUGGUGGUUAAUACCCAUCAGGAAAGACAUCACUCACAGAAGAAGCACCGGCUAACUCCGUGCCAGCAGCCGCGGUAAUACGGAGGGUGCGAGCGUUAAUCGGAAUUACUGGGCGUAAAGCGCGCGUAGGUGGCUUGAUAAGCCGGUUGUGAAAGCCCCGGGCUCAACCUGGGAACGGCAUCCGGAACUGUCAAGCUAGAGUGCAGGAGAGGAAGGUAGAAUUCCCGGUGUAGCGGUGAAAUGCGUAGAGAUCGGGAGGAAUACCAGUAGCGAAGGCGGCCUUCUGGACUGACACUGACACUGAGGUGCGAAAGCGUGGGUAGCAAACAGGAUUAGAUACCCGAGUAGUC